UGGCUAAAAAAAGAGCAACCUUGACCUGACUAGCCAUUUUUGCAGGACUGAGACGUGACCUGGGAUGGGAAUUUGAUCCUGUAUGGAAGAAUUAGUUCGUUCAAAUCAAGAUAUUGUGUU